rnacentral:snRNA from 1 species
GGACAUGAGGGCAAUCUAGCUCUGAUGUCUGUCAUCCCACCCUAUUGGUUGUCAAAACUGAUUCAGCUGGCUGGCUGGCUAGGCUAGUGAUCUUUUCCUCCCUCACUGUCCUGUACAUGUCCCUCCUAAAGAUUCACUCUAUGUCAGAGAGGAAAAACCUUCUAUGUAGAGAAAGAAGCUGACCAAGCUUUGGUCAAGAUGAAUAGCCAAGGUCUACUAGAACCUCCUAAAAAAAAUCUCAAAUAAGUUAAAGCAAGAAAAGAAUUUGUUUCUAGCCUUU